GAAAAAGUACUGCAAGAACUGCUAAUUCAUGCUCCCGUACAUAAAAACACGGCUUUUUCA
rnacentral:tRNA from 1 species